UACGACGAUGCGGGAGAGAUCGAGGCGACAACAUCUGAUGUUGUUGGCUUCGGCGCCGACGGAGCAACCGCCCCGGAAACUCUCAGGCAAAAGGACUGUAUCGUCAGG
rnacentral:ncRNA from 1 species